UGCUCUUUGUUUUACUCCAAUAAAGAGUCGAGCCUGCCCAGUGAAGUUUUUAACGGCCGCGGUACUCUGACCGUGCAAAGGUAGCAUAAUCAUUUGCCUUAUAAUUGAAGGCUAGUAUGAAUGGUUUGACGAAAGCAGACCUGUCUCCCUCCUAUUACCCAGAAAUUGACCUCUAGGUGAAGAGGCCUAGAUAUUAUUGAAGGACAAGAAGACCCUGUCGAGCUUAAAAGAACAGACGGAAGUUUAUAUAAUUAUAAAUAAAUAAUCCGUUCAGCUUUUUAGUUGGGGCGACUGAGGAACAAAAAAAGCUUCUUCCAUAAAAGAAACAAACGAGUUAAGAUCCAGCCAUAGUCUGAUCUAAGAAAUUAGUUACCGCAGGGAUAACAGCAUAAUCUCUCUUGAGAGACCUAAUCGAAAGAGGGGGUUGUGACCUCGAUGUUGGACUAGAAUAUCCUAAAGAUGCAGAAGUCUUUGAAGGUUGGUCUGUUCGACCAUUAAAAUUCU
rnacentral:rRNA from 1 species